AACACCGCGAGUUGCUCGCCCGAGUGCCGUCUUCCCCGACGCCGGUAAGAAGAUUCGCCGCCCAGACCGGCCGUGCGAGAGUCGCCGCUGCCGGGGGUUCGCGAUGCCGCCGUAGCUCUAGUUGAUCGGAAUCUGAUCUGACGGAGCACCGGCGAUCGACCAGCCACCAUGCCGGGAACCGGAGGCGCGACCGUCCUGGACGACCUUCCAGAGUGGAUCGUUGUCGAAGAGAUCCUCGUCCGUUUGCCACCCAAGGACAUCCUCCGCUGUCGCGCUGUCUGCAGGUGGUGGCACAGCGCCAUCUCCACCGACAAGUUCAUGCUGGACCACCACCGCCGCCAGCCCUUGCUCCCGAUCCUCAGCCACGUCGUCGUUCCGCAGAAAGCCCGCCUCCUGUUUUCCUUUGAUGCCGGUGCAGGCCAGCAAAAACUCUGCCCUGUCGUCCGGACCUAUGACUACGGUAAACUGCAGGCCGCCUGUGAUGGCCUCCUCGUUGUCUCCCACGGAUCCAUGACGGAUAAGUUCAUCUGCAACCCUGUCACCCGCAAGUCUGCCCGCCUAGCAAAGCCUCAGGCCCAACGGGGUUUUUACCACCAGAUUAUCGGCUUCUACCGGCACCAACCAUCCAGAGGAGAAUUCCGAGUGCUAUGGAUCUCUAGGCCGACGACCUACAAUUCAUACGACACAAAUUACAGAACUUUCUACUACGUCAUAGUGGUGGGAUCCGAUAAUACAAGAUGCAUCAGACAAGGAUGCAUCCACAACCAACAUCCUCGCCGCCUUCCUUGGAUCUGGCUUUACGCAGGGGCCUGCCUGAUUCGUCCCAGUAUCCACCAGUCCACCACCGUGGCGGCCUGCACUGGAGACUUAGAAGAUACCACGGCUCCGAUGCGGACUACAUAAUGGUGUUCAACACAGCAGCUGAAACAUUUCGAUUGAUGUGUCGUCCUGCCCGAUUGGGCAACUGCUUACAUGAGUCAUUGCUGGAGAUGGAUGACACUCUUGCUUUGUGCAGCAUCUGCAGUGACAAACACACCAUAGACUUUUGGGUGCUACAGGACUACGAUGCUGAAACAUGGUCUUUCAAGCAUCGGAUUAAUUUGAUUGGGGUGGAUCCAUCAGCGCUUGUUGAUCCAGAGGUCAUAAUAUCCCCUAGUAUGGCUGUUCUCAGUGGGGGUGAGAUGCUGAUUCGGUUUACUCAUAGGGGUGUGUUGCAUUUUGAUGUUGAUGGCAAGUUUUUAGGAUAUGUGAAAAGCCAAGAUGGCCAAGAAAUCAAUUUGUGGGUUACCGGGCAUUACCUCCAGGAGAGCAUUAUUCCCGGUCCACUGUUCCAUGAGAUGAGAGAAGAUGAUGGUGCGAACCAGGAGCCUCCAUUUUUUGUAGGACUGUAGGAUGCAAUGCUUGAUCUGGACGUUCUACACUGCUGGUUUGCAGCGCCAUUGGAGUAUCUAUUUUAAUUCUAUAUGAGCCUUUACUUUUGUUCUUUGUUGGUCUUCUUAGUGCUGCUUGUAGAACUGAACAAUUCGGAUGGUAGGAGAGCUCCUCUGCUAUCA